rnacentral:rRNA from 1 species
UACGGAGGGGGCUAGCGUUGUUCGGAAUUACUGGGCGUAAAGCGCACGUAGGCGGCGAUUUGAGUCAGAGGUGAAAGCCCGGGGCUCAACCCCGGAACUGCCUUUGAGACUGGAUUGCUAGAAUCUUGGAGAGGCGAGUGGAAUUCCGAGUGUAGAGGUGAAAUUCGUAGAUAUUCGGAAGAACACCAGUGGCGAAGGCGGCUCGCUGGACAAGUAUUGACGCUGAGGUGCGAAAGCGUGGGGAGCAAACAGG